rnacentral:RNase_P_RNA from 1 species
AAAGUUUGACAGACAAUCGCUGGCUGUGGGUAAGCCACAGCGAGAGGAAAGUCCGGGCUCCAUAUGGCAGGGUGCUGGAUAACGUCCAGUCAACGCGAGUUGAAGGAUAGGGCCACAGAAAUGGACCGCCGAUGGCUCGAGAGUUUGGCAUUAGCGAAACUCGUAGCGUAAGUUUUACGUGAGAUGAGCACAGGCAAGGGUGGAACCGUGGUGUAAGAGACCACGAGGUUCUAUGGUGACAUAGAUCCUGGUAAACCCCACUUGGAGCAAGGCCUAGUGGAACGCAAGCUGCUUUCGAGGCAGCAGUCUUCGCCUGAGACGCGUUCGGGUUGGUCGCUUGAGCUGUGCAGCAAUGUAUGGCCUAGAUAGAUGAUUGUCGCUUCAAUGGUGGCAGGGGAGCAGACGCCCGUUACGACCACUGGAAGUACAGAACCCGGCUUACGGCAAACUUUCCAU